UACGGGGGGGGCAAGCGUUGUUCGGAAUUACUGGGCGUAAAGGGCUCGUAGGCGGCCAACUAAGUCGGAUGUGAAAUCCCCAGGCUUAACCUGGGAACUGCAUCCGAUACUGGAUGGCUUGAAUCCGGGAGAGGGAUGCAGAAUUCCAGGUGUAGCGGUGAAAUGCGUAGAUAUCUGGAGGAACACCGGUGGCGAAGGCGGGUCUCUGGGCCGAUAUCGACGCUGAGGAGCGAAAGCGUGGGGAGCGAACAGG
rnacentral:rRNA from 1 species